GUAGGUGAACCUGCGGAAGGAUCAUUAAAGAGACGUUGCCCUUCGGGGUAUACCUCCCACCCAUUGUUUAUUAUACCUUUGUUGCUUUGGCAGACCCGGCUUCGGCCCACCGGCUCCGGCUGGUCAGUGUCUGCCAGAGGACCUAAAACUCUGUUUGUUAAUAUUGUCUGAGUACUAUAUAAUAGUUAAAACUUUCAACAACGGAUCUCUUGGUUCUG
rnacentral:misc_RNA from 1 species